GGUAUAAAUGAUACAAAUAAAUUUUACCAAAUUGAAGAACGAUCGUGCUGAUAAAGUGUUAUAAAAAGAACUGGAAUUUUAUUGUAUCGCGAGAAUUUAAAUAAGGGCAAAUUUUAUACCCGUAGAAAUAAUAACACUGAUAAAGAGUGUUUAUUAGAAGUGAGAAGAGAAGUUGAGGUGUGUUUUAUAAACAAUCGAAUCGAUCGUUUAUAUAGAAGUUAAAAAAUAGGAUUCACUGUGCAAAUAGUGCAGUGGGCCUUACAUCUUUUUUAUUUUCAACAAUUGCGGUGGAUGCUUCAGUAACAAGAGCAUCAUUAUCGCGGAUGCUAAGCCCCGUCUCUUAUGUUUUUUUUUAAAAAAAUAAUAAUAAUAAUGCAAAAGACGUCGCUUAAUUAAGCGCUACAAGAGACGUCCCUUACGGGACACGCGUCGUAACGCGACAUCUCAGUCUCUCUCUCAUCUCUCUUUCUCGACUGAUUCGGUUAGAUUCCGAAACUUCCACCACCGGAAUCGCCGCCGUCUCAGUCGCUUCACCGCCUCCUCGUCCCGACCUUCCUCCCCAAUGCCUCCUCCGUUGACAAAUUGAAGAAAGUGGUUGAGGAAGGUAAUGCCUACGGAGCUUUGCAGAUGUACAAAUCCUUCAGUGCCAGGUUCCUUCAUUACCCAAUUCAUUAAGUAUCGAAAUACCUCUUUUUGAUUCUGUUAAUCGGUUAAAGUUUGGAUCUUUGAUGUUGUUUCUUACUUUUGAAUAUGAGAUUAAAAACAUUAGCCUUUUUUUUUUGUUUGCUCGGCAGAUAUGUUACGGGAAGGUACUUGCCAUUAUUGAUUCUAUUCUGGAAACAUUAAGAUCCAUUAAAUUAGAGAUAAAGAUUGAAUUUUUUUUUGUUCUGUUUUGGUUUCAGAGGAAAGAUCUGCAAAGAAGAAGAAGAGAAAGAACAAGGAGACAAAAUCAGAAACAAAAGAAGAGAAGAGAGCAGAGAAGGAUGAGAAGAUCUUGCCAGAGGAGAAGAACACAACUUCUGUUGCGCUUCCUUGCAUUAAUAAGCUUCGAGACGAGUUGUCUUGUGCAAUUUGUCUUGAGAUUUGUUAUGAACCAAGUACUACAACUUGUGGACACAGGUACAUCUUACUACACAACAAACACCACAGAGUUGUCAUUGUGCGGUGAAUUUGAAAUGGCAAAUACUGCACAGUUAAUACAGUUCUUUGGAACACAAUCCAGCUUAUGUUCCCUAAAGAAGUGGAAGCAUAGAGAGCUGCUGCUUCUGCUAAUUUCCUAACCAAGGAAACGCCAAUCCCUAGAGGUUGCAGAGAGAUGAUAUCUCGAGGUUACUUGUGUCUGAAGAGAGAAGGAGGAGAGGCGUGAGGUUGGAUCAAGAUAGUGAUGCAGCGUUUGCGUUGCGGUUACAGCGGCAGGAAUUUGCGUCUGCCUUUGGCGGUUGCAGAGGGAUGCAUUGCCUCUUUUCAGUAUGCUAAGAGUAAAAUUUAAGUCUUGCAUAGAUAGAGAACCACUGCUUAACGAGACGCAGAUAACAAACUCAAAGUGGUGAAAACUCCAAAUGCUGUGAAUCCCCUACCCCUUGUGCUUGGUUCUUUUGUAAAGAUGGUCAGUGUGUGCAGAGAGCAGAAGUAAAUGGCAAAUAUAGUAAAAAGUUGGACCAUCAAAAUCACCACACAAUCACGGUCAGUGAAAGAAAGGUGGAAGUGAAGAUGAAGAGUGACCAUUACUUAUUUGAUUUUCUUGGAGUUGGAGCUUUUUGAUUAAUAUUAUGAAGAAUUUGGGUUCAUGAGAAGGGAACUAAUGGUUCGAUAAAGAAAAUUGGUUCAGUUUCUUUUGUUUACCUGGUUAAGUCUUAGCCAUG